rnacentral:rRNA from 1 species
UACGUAGGCAGCAAGCGUUGUUCGGAAUUACUGGGCGUAAAGAGUGUGUAGGCGGUGUUCUAAGUGUGGUGUGAAAUCUCCCGGCUCAACUGGGAGGGUGCGCCGCAGACUGGAAUGCUAGAGUAUGGGAGAGGUAAGCGGAAUUCCUGGUGUAGCGGUGAAAUGCGUAGAUAUCAGGAGGAACACCUGUGGUGUAGACAGCUUACUGGACCAUGACUGACGCUGAGACACGAAAGCGUGGGGAGCGAACAGG